GCUUGUCCCACGCUGCUUCCCUGCAGAUUCGUGAUGCUGUUCUUGCGGGAGAACAAUCCACUCGUGUGUAGCUGUCCAUGUUCUUCACCUCCUUCUCUGGGAGCAGAGAGCCAGGAGGUCACCUCUAAUCUGCCAUUUUUCAGGACCACCUCCCCCAAGGCUCUAUUUCUGAAAGAAGAUUGCAAGGAAGCAGGCAGGAGAGUGCAUGCUCUGGAGACCAUAAUACAAUAAUAGGAGGAAAAGUCUCCAGAUGGCCUUGGCUGACCUAUCUCUUACCCUCUUGCUUAUAAUUCUGAGCCAGAAUUCACUGAGUAUGCAGCAUUUAAAAUAAUGGGGAAAUGUCCAGACUAAUUCAGGCUAUGUACUCACUCCUCCUAAAACAGAAUAUUCUGCAAUGCUUGAGCUCUGUGGGCCUGUUGGAGCCCAAGGUAUACAAACCUAGGGCAGAGGGCUUUUGGGGUCUCACAGCUGGGGUGCAGCUUGGGCAAGUGCAGAGGAGACUCUGUCUGCCCUGGGCAACUUUCCAGAACCAUGGAGAUGGGCUCUCCAUGGAUUCUAGGCUCCAGUUUAUCCUUGCUGCCUAUCUGUGAGUAAU